rnacentral:rRNA from 1 species
UACAGAGGUCUCAAGCGUUGUUCGGAUUCAUUGGGCGUAAAGGGUGUGUAGGUGGCGCGCUAAGUCGGGUGUGAAAUUUCGGAGCUUAACUCCGAAACUGCAUUCGAUACUGCCGUGCUUGAGGACUGGAGAGGAGACUGGAAUUUACGGUGUAGCGGUGAAAUGCGUAGAUAUCGUAAGGAAGACCAGUGGCGAAGGCGGGUCUCGUGGACAGUUCCUGACGCUGAGGCACGAAGGCCAGGGGAGCAAAACGGG